CAAAAGUAAGAAGUACAUAAAACUAAAAUAAAUCAAGAAUAACAAAACAAAACAACAAUCCAAGACAUCAAUUCAUCCCCCAAACCAACAAAAAAAAUAGGUAGGUAAAAACUCCAGACAUAAAAAAAAUCGUCUCGAAGUGACCCUGAAAUCCAAUAAAAAAAAAAAAAUAUAGGUAAGAUUGUUCAUCAAUCGGCACACGCCAUGCUUAACCAAAAAAAAAAUACAUUUACCCCUAUUAGGAAUAAGUCCCAGA